rnacentral:rRNA from 1 species
AAUGAACGUUGGCGGCGUGGAUUUGGCAUGCAAGUCGUACGAGAAUCGUAGCAAUACGAGGAAAGUGGCGGAAGGGAGAGGAUUACGUGGGAAUCUACCCUCAGAACUGGGAUAGCGGCGGGAAACUGCCGGUAAUACCAGAUAAUGUCUGUGGACCAAAGGUGUGAUUCCGUCUGGGGAUGAGCCCACGUCCUAUUAGCUAGUUGGCAGGGUAAUGGCCUACCAAGGCAAUGAUGGGUAGCGGGUGUGAGAGCAUGACCCGCCCAACUGGGACUGAGGACUGCCCAGACACCUCCGGGUGGGUGCAGUCGAGAAUCUUCGGCAAUGAGCGCAAGCUUGACCGAGCGACGCCGCGUGCGGGAUGAAGGCCUUCGGGUUGUAAACCGCUGUCGUAGGGGAGCAAGAGAUGAGGGUACUCCCUCUGAUUUGAGCGAUCCUAGGAGGAAGGACGGGCUAAGUUCGUGCCAGCCGCCGCCGUAA